rfam:Triticum aestivum genome assembly, contig: Triticum_aestivum_CS42_TGACv1_scaffold_438277_5DL
UGUGUACUCCCUCCGUCCGGAAAUAUUUAUCAAAAAAAUCAUAAAAGUAAAUGUAUCUAAAACUAAAAUAUAUCUAGAUACAUUCACUCUUUCUAUGAGUAUUUCCGGACUGAGGAAGUAUCAA